rnacentral:rRNA from 1 species
UACGUAGGGUGCGAGCGUUAAUCGGAAUUACUGGGCGUAAAGCGUGCGCAGGCGGUUUUGUAAGCCAGGUGUGAAAUCCCCGGGCUCAACCUGGGAAUGGCAUUUGGGACUGCAAGGCUGGAGUGCGGCAGAGGAGACUGGAAUUCCUGGUGUAGCAGUGAAAUGCGUAGAUAUCAGGAGGAACACCGAUGGCGAAGGCGGCCGGCUGGGGGCGCCCUGACGCUGAGGCGCGAGAGCGUGGGGAGCGAACCGG